ensembl:lncRNA
GCCCCCUUCCUGGAGCCCCCUCCUGCACCAGGCCGUCUGCUGGCACCAUGGAUCCAGAGGAGGCCUCAUGUCUUCUGGCCGAGAAGAGAAGAGAGGCCCGUCUGAAGAGAGAGAGAGAGCAGGAGGAAUGCCUGCGCAGGGAGGAGAUAGAGAGGUACGGACAGAGGGCCACCUUACAUCUUCCCAUCUGUCUUCUACUGACCCAACAUUCAUCUUCCCAGUAGGAAAAACAACCUGAGUAAUCUUUUUGCCUAAAAGACAAAAAUCUGGUUGUGAAUAAAAAAAUUACGACUGACCUUCAGAAGUAGUCUAAAGCAGGGUUUCCAAAAAUCGGUCCUGGCCCCCCAGGUGCCCCCCUCCCAUGUCUUGGUUUUUGUCCUAGCAUUACACAGCUGUUUCAAACCAACUCAUCAGCCAGCUUUGGUUAUCUGAAUCAGCUGUGUAGUGCUAAGGCAAAAACCAAAACAUGCACCCAGGGGGGACCCUGGGACCAAGUUUGGGAAAACCUGGUCUAAGGGAGCAUUUCACAUGUUCAGAGGAUAGAUUCAUUUGUAUGGUGAUGUGCUGUGCUGUUAUGUACAUGUUACGUAAUGUCAUGUCAUGUGGCAUCACUGGAGAGGCAGAGAGGAGCUGGAGGGCAGGAGGGCAGAGGAGCGAGCACGGCUCGAGGCUGAGGCCCAGUGGCUGGUAGUGGAGAGGAGGGAGGAAGAGGAGCAGAGACAUGCAGAGGAGGAGAAAGUCAUCCGGGCCACACAUGAAGCUGCUCUCCUCCAGAAACAGGUGAGGGAUCUGGUCUAUUAAUACAAUUUUAGUAUAUAAAGUUUAUAUCAGUGUUAAUAAUGUAGCAUCUGGUUCCGUAAUGGCUUUGGUUCUCUGUGUCCUGUCCCAGAGAGAGGAGGAGGAGGCCCAGGCCAGGGACAAGGCAGAGCAGCAGAGGCUGCAGAGAGAGAAGCACUUCCAGAAGGAGGAGGAACAACGGCAGGAGAGGAAAAAGCGACUGGAGUUGAUCAUGAGGAGGACUAGGAAGACCUCAACUGAAGAUAAAAAAACGCCUGUCCUGAAUGGGAAGACAAACAGAAACCCCUCUCCAGAGGAAGCCCAACCAAAAAAGAACACUGAGCCUGUGAAGAACGGCAACGGCACUUUAGAAGAGGUCAUCAACCUAGGGGUCGGGACGGGGACCAAGCCAUCCAAUCUAGGUCUGAGUGGCGUGGAAGACAACAUGGUUCCUGUCGUGGCCUUCAAAGAACGCAGGUAUAUACACUCCCAUGACCACAGACCAGUUCUCAGUUCCUAUGCUUUUGAUGGCUGAUGUUUUGGUCACUUUUGAAUGCUGGCGGUGCUUUCACUCUAGUGGUAGCAUGAGACGGAGUCUACAACCCACACAAGUGGCUCAGGUAGUGCAGCUCAUCCAGGAUGGCACAUCAAUGUGAGCUGUGGCAAGAAGGUUUGCUGUGUCUGUCAGCGUAGUGUCCAAAGCAUGGAGGCGCUACCAGGAGACAGGCCAGUACAUCAGGAGACGUGGAGGAGGCCGUAGGAGGGCAACAACCCAGCAGCAGGACCGCUACCUCCGCCUUUGUGCAAGGAGUAGCAGGAGGAGCACUGCCAGAGCCCUGCAAAAUUAUCUCCAGCAGGCCACAAAUGUGCAUGUGUCUGCUCAAACGGUCAGAA